UACGGCGGGGGCUAGCGUUGUUCGGACUUACUGGGCGUAAAGCGCACGUAGGCGGCUUUGUAAGUUAGAGGUGAAAGCCCGGGGCUCAACUCCGGAAUUGCCUUUAAGACUGCAUCGCUAGAAUUGUGGAGAGGUAAGUGGAAUUCCGAGUGUAGAGGUGAAAUUCGUAGAUAUUCGGAAGAACACCAGUGGCGAAGGCGGCAUACUGGACCACAUCUGACGCUGAGGCGCGAAAGCCAGGAGAGCAAACGGG
rnacentral:rRNA from 1 species